AGGAGGCUGUUGUCCGGCCGCUGACCCUCCCCCCCUCUCCCUAACCCUACCCUUGCCAAAGAUCCCUUCCUCUCUGGCAAGGGCAGGGUUAGGGAGAGAGAACCCCUUGUCUGCCCUAAUUCUCAAGAGUCCUGUUCUGUAGACUCAGUGAAUCCCCAAGACGUCGACAUCCUCCUCCUUGAGUAAUAUCCUGCUCCCCAAUUCACUGAUUGGUGUGUGUGUGUGUGUGUGUUACACUCACUUUUUCUUUCCAUUAUAAAUAACAGGUACUCCAGCAGGAGGAGGGAGUGCCCCGUCUCUCUGCUGAGAAGGAACAGCUGAAGCAGCAGGACCAGAAGAAGGACGAGCAGGUGUCCCGUCUGCAGCAAGAGGUGCAAGAGCUGAAGGCACAAGUGUCCCUACUUCUCUCCGCUGAGAAUCAAUGGCUGAAGCAACAGAGCCAAGAGAAGAACGAGGAGGAGACGUCCCGUCUGCUUCAAGAGCUGGAGGGUCAAGGGUCUCCUCUGCAGCAGGAGGUGCAGGAUCUGAAGGCACAAGUGUCCUGUCUCUCUGAUCAGAACAAAGGCCUGAAGGAGCAAGUGUCCCGUCUCUCCGCUGAGAACCAACAGCUGAAGCAACAGUUCCAAGAAAGGGACAAGCAGGUGUCCCGUCUGCUUCAAGCGGUGCAAGAGCUGGAGGGGGAAGUGUCUCACCUGCAGCAGCAAAACCAGAGGAAGGAUGAGCAGAUCUCUCAUCUGCAGCAUAAGGUGCAAAAGUUGGAGGAGCAAGUGUCUCCUCUGCAGCAGGAGGUGCAGGAGCUCAAGAAGAGUCCUGGAGCCUCUGGAGCCCAGCAAACCACCAGAUGGAUUUCACCGUUUGGAGGACCAACUCUUCCUGUCAAAGUCCAGAUCCGGAUCACUGGGAAGACAGGUGGCUCUGAGGAGAAGUUUCUAAAUUGUGUUUCAGAGCACCUGUCCCACAAAGGAGUCUCUCUGAAGGUGGAGAAGUUUAAGGAGACCUCGAAGGACCCCCUUCUGCUCUUCUGCCCCAUAGCUUCCCGCAUGGGCGCCGACAUCGAAAAUGCCCUUGAGGGGCUCAGUGGUGAGCAGAAGGUCCUCCUGGUGGUGAUGCACUUUGUUCAAAAGGACAACCCAGGGACCCCUGCGGACGCUGAGCACCAAGUGACCCAUCCGGCCGUGGUGGGGACCGUGCACACCCGCUACACCCUCAAGGACGGCUUCUACCCUUGUGAGAUGAACGAGGCGGCCGUGGCUGACGUGGCAGCUGCCCUCAAGGCCCUGGCUGAGGAUCAGUGAGGGGAGACUGGGCUCCUCCCCAUGUCCUUCUUGUGUGAUGUCAUCUUGUAGGAGAAGGGGAUGCUUUUAAGACACAGGUGGGGAUUGUCCUUGCAGACUGGGGGGUGGGGUGGGAUUUAUACACCUUCAGCUGAAGAGAAUGCUAGUAGUGAUCAGGCAGAUAUAAGACAUCCCUGUUCUUCUCGGCGUGGGCAGACCCACCUGGAGGAGCCUCAGGCUGGCUGGGCAGACCUGGCCACGUGUGCUUUUUGUGU
rnacentral:lncRNA from 1 species